rnacentral:lncRNA from 1 species
ACGAUGGGGAGCCCCAUUCAGGGCCCAGGACCUGGGAAUGUCUGACUCGGAUAAUGGGGAUUCGACUCCUGUUUGUUAAGUGAAUGAUUGGGUGGAAGAACGAUGGGGUUCAUUAACAGCACUGGCAGCGCUGAGCACAUUGUCAUCUUUUGUGGAAAAUACUUGCGGAAUGAAUGAACGCAUUUCUACCGGACUGCAACGUCCAGAAAAGCCGGGGGCGGUGGCUCUCCUACAUUGUAUUCUGUAGCAGGCAGAGGCUUUCUGCACGUGGAGUGUGGCUGUGACUGUGCAGUGGUCAGUGUGUGAGCUGUGGCAUAUGGAAGAGGACAGCGAACUUGGAAUCAGAAGGUGGGAGUCGCAGCUCUGCUUCUUGCCACAUGGAUGGGAUCAUCAUUUAUAAACACACGAGGGAACAAUCUGCCAUGAAGAAGAGUCAGCCAACACAGGAAAGAGGGGAAGUGGAAUAAAAGGGUAGACUUGUUGGUUAAGAACCCUGAA